CAGGCAUUUUAAAUUUGGGGCCCUUCAGUUUCCCUUCUGGACCAUGAAUAUCAAUAUCAGGAGUGUCAAUGUCCACUUUGGGUCCUGAGACAUCAAUGUCAGCUUUGGGCAAAUUAACAUCCACUUCUGGGCCCUCUCCUUUAAAUCCUGGCAUGCUGAAUUUGGGCAUUUUCACCUUGGGCAUCUUCAGGUGCCAGUCUGGGCCUUGAACAUCCACAUCUGGGGCAUUAAUAUCCACUUUGGGGCCUUUAAUAUCCACGUCAGGAACUUUCAUGUCACCUUCCACUUUUGGCAGAGACACAUCCAUGUCACCCUUCACUUUGGGACCUUUCAGGUUAAGAUCAAUGUCAGGCAUGGAGAUCUUGGGGGCUUUGAUGUUCAUCUCAGGCAUUUUGAAUUUGGGACCUUUCAACUUUCCCUCUGGGCCUUCGAUAUUCACAUCUGGAACAUCAAUGUCCACCUUGGGUCCUGAGACAUCAAGGUCAGCCUUGGGCAGGUUCAU
rnacentral:lncRNA from 1 species